rnacentral:rRNA from 1 species
AACGUAGGAGACAAACGUUAUCCGGAGUUACUGGGCGUAAAGGGCGUGCAGGUGGUCUGUUAAGUCUGGCGUGAAAGCUCUCGGCUAAACCGGGAGAGGUCGUUGGAUACUGGAUGACUUGAGUUCGGGAGAGGGAUGCGGAAUUCCAGGUGUAGCGGUGAAAUGCGUAGAGAUCAUGAGGAAGACCAGUGGCGAAGGCGGGUCUCUGGACAGUUCCUGACACUGAGACACGAAGGCCAGGGGAGCAAACGGG